rnacentral:rRNA from 1 species
UCCACGUUUUCCGCGCCGUAGCUAACGCAUUAAGUGCCCCGCCUGGGGAGUACGGCCGCAAGGCUAAAACUCAAAGGAAUUGACGGGGGCCCGCACAAGCGGCGGAGCAUGCGGAUUAAUUCGAUGCAACGCGAAGAACCUUACCAAGGCUUGACAUGGACCGGACCGCCGCAGAAAUGUGGUUUCCCCUUUGGGGCCGGUUCACAGGUGGUGCAUGGUUGUCGUCAGCUCGUGUCGUGAGAUGUUGGGUUAAGUCCCGCAACGAGCGCAACCCUCGUUCCAUGUUGCCAGCGCGUAAUGGCGGGGACUCAUGGGAGACUG